UGCUUAUAUACAUUUUCUUACCUCAGCUUCCAUAUUGCGUAAUCAAGUACCUAAAGGUCAAAAGUUGAAUUCAGCUUCGGAAAAAUCCGGAAACGGUGACGUUGCAUAAUUAAUGAGCACUCCAUGGAAAGAUGACGCUGGAACCGUCUCGAGUUUUUGUUCAAUAGAGUGGGGGGCCCAUAUUCACCGGGGACACAAUUUCGCCGUUUUAUGAUUUUGAGGUGUAAACACUUCAAAGGAUGGCUGAAAUGGAAGAAAUAUGCCAAUAAAUUAUAAUUGUAUAACAAAUAUGAUUAUUUUUUAAACUUAAACCAAAAUUACGGCACUUACUGCAAAAGAUCGAAAAACGGACAACGAUUUUCGGUCAAUUUCCUGAACGAAAAACAGGAUUUUCAUAGAUUUUUUUCUUAGCAUUUUUUUGAUUGAUUGGCCUAAAUUUCUGUUUUUACACCUUUGAAAUGUCUGCUGUUCAUCUAUAAUGAAAUUUAUUUGAUAAAUAUUAUAUAAAGCUGCAGUUAUUUGGUUUUAAAUAGAUGUGUAAAAACGGCGAAUAUGUGUCCCCCAUUGACAAAACUUCAGGAAAUUUCAAACACCUUUUAAUCUAACUUUACAGAUGAUUAUUUUCAAACAAACAUGUUUUCAAGCUUAAGAAUGUUUUGCAUUUGAAGUUAUCUUCAUAUAGAAAUAUCAGUAUACUUCAAAAACAUAUAGACCUGAACAUAAACUGUAGAAAACAUGGAAAGAAAUGGCGAAAAUGAGCACCCCACUCUAC
rnacentral:lncRNA from 1 species